CUGCUGUUUUAUUUAGUGUUUGUAGGUUUUUUUCAUCCCAAAGACUUUACGGAGCAGCAGGAGAUUGAAUGAAAACUAAAAGGCAGUGGCUUGUUUUACUUUAUGAAGUUUACUGUAAGAGAAGUUUCCCACAUAUUUUUAUCCAUAUGUGUUUACUUAUUAAACGUUAUUUUAGUAGCUUAGGUUAAAUGGAUAUGCAAUUUUUAGAGCCAGGAUUAUUGUAUUUCAUCUGUUUUAUUGUUCAUAUUUAAAUUUUCAUGCAAAUUAGGACUAUGGAGGGU